UACGUAGGGGGCGAGCGUUGUCCGAAGUUACUGGGCGUAAAGCGCGCGUAGGCGGUCUUUUAAGUCUGGGGUGAAAGGUUCAACGCUCAACGUGAACAGUGCCUUGGAUACUGGGAGACUUGAGUCUGGGAGAGGGUAGUGGAAUUCCUGGUGUAGCGGUGAAAUGCGCAGAUAUCGGGAGGAACACCAAUGGCGAAGGCAGCUCGCUGGGACGUUACUGACGCUGAGACGCGAAAGCGUGGGGAGCAAACAGG
rnacentral:rRNA from 1 species